GGGGAUCUGCCCGAUAGAGGGGGAUAACCACUGGAAACGGUGGCUAAUACCGCAUAACGUCGCAAGACCAAAGAGGGGGACCUUCGGGCCUCUCACUAUCGGAUGAACCCAGAUGGGAUUAGCCAGUAGGCGGGGUAAUGGCCCACCUAGGCGACGAUCCCUAGCUGGUCUGAGAGGAUGACCAGCCACACUGGAACUGAGACACGGUCCAGACUCCUACGGGAGGCAGCAGUGGGGAAUAUUGCACAAUGGGCGCAAGCCUGAUGCUGCCAUGCCGCGUGUAUGAAGAAGGCCUUCGGGUUGUAAAGUACUUUCAGCGGGGAGGAAGGCGACGGGGUUAAUAACCGCGUCGAUUGACGUUACCCGCAGAAGAAGCACCGGCUAACUCCGUGCCAGCAGCCGCGGUAAUACGGAGGGUGCAAGCGUUAAUCGGAAUUACUGGGCGUAAAGCGCACGCAGGCGGUCUGUUAAGUCAGAUGUGAAAUCCCCGGGCUUAACCUGGGAACUGCAUUUGAAACUGGCAGGCUUGAGUCUUGUAGAGGGGGGUAGAAUUCCAGGU
rnacentral:rRNA from 1 species